GACGAACGCUGGCGGCGUGCUUAACACAUGCAAGUCGAACGAAGAGCGAUGGAAGCUUGCUUCUAUCAAUCUUAGUGGCGAACGGGUGAGUAACGCGUAAUCAACCUGCCCUUCAGAGGGGGACAACAGUUGGAAACGACUGCUAAUACCGCAUACGAUCUAAUCUCGGCAUCGAGGAUAGAUGAAAGGUGGCCUCUACAUGUAAGCUAUCACUGAAGGAGGGGAUUGCGUCUGAUUAGCUAGUUGGGGGGGUAACGGCCCACCAAGGCGAUGAUCAGUAGCCGGUCUGAGAGGAUGAACGGCCACAUUGGGACUGAGACACGGCCCAGACUCCUACGGGAGGCAGCAGUGGGGAAUCUUCCGCAAUGGACGAAAGUCUGACGGAGCAACGCCGCGUGAGUGAUGACGGCCUUCGGGUUGUAAAGCUCCGUUAAUCGGGACGAAAGGCCUUCUUGCGAAUAGUGAGAAGGAUUGACGGUACCGGAAUAGAAAGCCACGGCUAACUACGUG
rnacentral:rRNA from 1 species